rnacentral:misc_RNA from 2 species
GGAGCGCCAUCAGGGAUGAUGGCGCAGACGCAGCUGGCACAGGGAUGUGCCGUCUGCGGCGGUCCGUC